UUUUUAAACGAGAGUUUGAUCCUGGCUCAGGAUGAACGCUGGCGGCGUGCUUAACACAUGCAAGUCGAGCGAAGCGCUUAAGUUCGAUUCUUCGGAUGAGGACUUUUGUGACUGAGCGGCGGACGGGUGAGUAACGCGUGG
rnacentral:rRNA from 1 species